rnacentral:tRNA from 1 species
GCCUUCGCCCGACGGGUCGGGCCUCGUCCUGGUACGACGGGAGCAGCCGGUUCGAACCCGGCCGAAGGCUCCA